AGAACGAACGCUGGCGGCAUGCCUAACACAUGCAAGUCGAACGAGACCUUCGGGUCUAGUGGCGCACGGGUGCGUAACGCGUGGGAAUCUGCCCUUGGGUUCGGGAUAACAGUUGGAAACGACUGCUAAUACCGGAUGAUGACUUCGGUCCAAAGAUUUAUUGCCCAGGGAUGAGCCCGCGUAGGAUUAGCUAGUUGGUGAGGUAAAGGCUCACCAAGGCGACGAUCCUUAGCUGGUCUGAGAGGAUGAUCAGCCACACUGGGACUGAGACACGGCCCAGACUCCUACGGGAGGCAGCAGUGGGGAAUAUGGACGAAUGGGACGAAAGCCUGAUCCAGCAAUGCCGCGUGAGUGAUGAAGGCCUUAGGGUUAGUAAAGCUUACGUUUAACCCGGGAAGUAUAAUGACUGGUACCGGAGAAUAACGCCCCGACUAACUCCGUGCCAGCAGCCGC
rnacentral:rRNA from 1 species